GUUUUCGAAGAACCCAUAGGGAAGCUAGGACACAGUCCGGACAGGCAGCAACACGAAGAGGACAACCGCCGUUCCCGCGUAAAAUAGGAUAGCAUUACGACCAGCCAGUCAAGCACUCAUCCCUGGGACAUCCUCACGUGAAACACACAGGCACACAGACAAAACCGGCGAGCGGAGACGAAAUUUCCACAGCAGUUGGAAGACCAAAAACAAGACGAAGCGGCAUCUAGCGAAACCCGAAGACCAUGGAGUCACCCUAAACACACAGGCACACAAGCAAAAACAUUGAGACCAUUUUCCAUGACAUUUUGAAAAGCGUCACAAGAAAAGACAUCAACAAUGUCUACAUGUAUAUCCACGACACCAAGUGACAAUUGGAACACUCAAUAUCUGCACACUUUCCAAGAGGAAAAUGACAAGAAUACAAUCAUACCAACUACGCCUCCCAGUCAACCAAACAGACAUUCAAUCCCAGGGACACACGAAAACACGGAAACAAGUGAUACACUCCUGUCCAGCAACGCGACAUUGCAUUGCCAUUGUGUACUUCAUCAAUCGCUACCACAGAAUUGACUCACAACAGGCAAUGCCAAGUAACAACUUUCACAGAGCUUGAUAUGUGUACUGCGGUAUCUAUGUACGGUAUAUGGAAUACUCGACCAUAAACAAUGCACACACAUCACACAGACAACUACAGCAAACGACAACCAUCCAAUACAUGCAAAUAAACGACCAUUACAUGGAAUCAACCAACAACCACCACCAAACGACCAAUGAAUUGUCAACGGUCUGCAUAUUUCCCACUGGAAAACAACACACAAACAUGCCAUUGCCAGUGGUUAUCACUAACUACAUGUGUAUCAGGAACAAUGCGGCUGUAACAGAUCACCACCACACCAUGUGCACUCCACCACCCUGACACCACCUACCAGCCAUUGUACCAUGCUUGGCUGCAGCACGCAACACAAGCUACCAUUGCACCAACGUCUGUCCGCACAUGUACCCAAGAGGAAUACGAGACACGUUUACAAACAUUACCAAACAGAGAGAUCCAUCAGGAGAGACAAAAGAGCGAUUUUGAAAUAUCAGAACACAUGAAAAAAAGGAACACAUGACUAAACCAGGAACAUGAACUGCAUUCAUUCAGAGACACAUAAACACUACCAGAGAAGGGGGUCCAUCAAGAGAGACAAAACAGCGAUUUCGAAAAUCAUGAACACAUGGCAACAGUUGUCAACACAAGGAACAUAAACACCGUUCAUUCGGAGACACAAAACACUACCAGACAAGGGAGACUUAACAGAGAUUUUCGGAGAAAAAAAAUCAUGAACACACGACCACACCAGGAACAUAAACAGCAUUCAUCCACACACCAUCUUCCUGUGUCAAUUCAUACAACAAAACAUCAAUGUUUAUCGCUUUGCGGC